AUUUAAAUAGCUUAUAUAUUUAAAGCGUAAUAUUGAAGAUAUUAAAAAAAUUUAAAAAUUUUUAAAUA
rnacentral:tRNA from 1 species